rnacentral:rRNA from 1 species
UAAUACGUAGGAGGCGAGCGUUGUCCGGAAUUACUGGGUGUAAAGCGCGUGUAGGCGGUGAGUUAAGUCUGUUGUGAAAGCGCCCGGCUCAACCGGGCAGAGUCAAUGGAAACUAGCGCACUGGAGGUCGGUAGAGGCGAGUGGAAUUCCCGGUGUAGUGGUGAAAUGCGUAGAGAUCGGGAGGAACACCAGUGGCGAAGGCGGCUCGCUGGGCCGGACCUGACGCUGAGACGCGAAGGCGUGGGGAGCGAACGGGAUUAGAUACCCCGGUAGUCCACGCAGUAAACGAUGCACACUAGGUGUGGGGGGUAUCGAGCCCCUCCGUGCCGCAGCUAACGCAGUAAGUGUGCCACCUGGGGAGUACGGCCGCAAGGUUA